CGAAGACUGAGGACGAAGAACCCCCUGCAUUUUACCGUUUCGGAUUGAGGACGACGACGAAGCAGGAGGAGGAACUGGAACAAAAUGCCCAUGCUUCGGACUGAGGACGAAGAACCCCCUGGAUAUGAUCUGUGUGGGGGCCAUUUUACUGUGGCAAUGCACCAUGGAGGAAAUUUCUUCACUCCAUUUGGCAACAAAAGGUAUCAUGGAGCUAACAACACGUACUCAGUUUUCAAGAACAACAAGG